AGCUUGUGCUAUGGCGGACAGAAGUUGUGUCCCCAAAUGGGAAAAGGCAGAUUUCGGGGUCAGUGGUUAGAGUAGGUCACUGAUCAACAGGUGUGAGCUGGAGUCAGCAGUGACAACAAAGACAUGAGGACCAAAAUAUGACUUCAGUGUUCUACUAGAAUCAACGACGGCUCAUCUGCCCCCCACAUUUUUCAGCACAGUCACAGUCGGCAUUAAAGGACCUCGCAAUAUCGCUACGGCAACAACGCAGCGGAAGCAACCGCACUGGAUCAUGGGAAACUGGGUCACCUCCCAGGAGCGGGAGGGUGCGGAGGGGGUGCAGCGGAGGGAGGUCGCUGUCUGACACGUGUGCACGCCCACACACACACACACACACACACACACCUGAUAGUUGUCCUACAAAGCAGGAGGACGAGAAAGAAAAAGAAUAGUUGAAAAUGAGAUAAUAGGUAAGAUCGCUGAUCCAGAUACAGUAAAAGACACCAAAAAACACGUAAUGUUUACGCUUCAUGGUUGAAUAGACACACAUGCAGAUAUACCUUCUUAUACAGAUUUUCCUCAUUCCUGGAGAGAGAGCACACACUGCUCCGUUCAUCUCGCUGCCAUGCUAGUCAUGCAAUGUUAACUUAAUUUGGCAGCACAACAAUAAACAUGAGCAAACUAGACAAUGAAAGCCUUUCCUAAUACUCUAAAAGCUUUGUUCACUUGUGCUUCUUAUAUAUAGAUUACUGUAUGUAUUACACGUGUUCUAGGGCAUGCGACCGCUGUCUUAUAUAAGCUUAGAAAAACUAAAAUUCAAACAUCUGGAAGAUGUAGGAUGACAAUCUGUUCACAGAAAGUAUCCUCUUGGUUAGGUAUUUACUUCAUACUCAUUUCAUUGACUAGGUAUUUUAAUUAGAGGAAAAAUAACAGAAAUGUGCUUAAAGUUAAUGAAUGAUGAAACAAUCCAAAUGAGAAAAUGCACAAGGAGAAAUCACGAGUAGUAACACUGAGUAGAAUAAAACUGAAACAAAACAGAACAGAUGAACACACACACACGGAGGACUGGGAGCACAGAGACUAAAUACAAAAGAAGACAGGGAUAAUUUAACAUCGGUGAAACACAUUAGGGACGGGUGCAGACAAUCACAGGGACGGGAGACACAGGAACAAUAUUAAGUCACAGAAAACAAUAAGACACAGGUGGAAAGUAAGUGAAGAGACACAAGGGAAGUGACACAAGGGAGAAAAAAAGGGGUUACUUUGGUAAUUUGUUGGAAAAAAUCUGCACAUUUGUUUAGACUGAUAACAUAACAUUGUAAAUGACCAGUUUCCAUUCACUCUCUGUUCUGAAAAAUGCUUCCAAGGCAACUCUGACAUAUGAAAAUCAAAGAUUUCAUGGCAACUAUUUACCAUGUACCAACAAAUAACCUUUUACGGUUUGAUAAUGAUUUGCAAAUGUUUGCACUCCUGUAAACACAUCAGAAGAAAGGUUUUUCUAUUAACUUCAGAAUUAUGCUGGUGGAUCAACACUGGCUGAUUUGGAUGUGAAGUAUACGUGAUUUGUGAUUAAUAAGAUAAAACUUGCAUCUGACUGCUACUUAAAAUAUGCCUCCGCUGCCCGUCAUGAAACAAGAUGAUUAAUGAUUCCAUGAUGAGCAGAUUUCACUGACUGCAUAAGUGGAAGCAGCAAUUUCAAGAGUGAGCUGGGCCACUUUAUUGAUAAUGACCAAUCUGCCUCCUACCAGCCUCCCAACAAUGAAAAAUAAAAACCUAGAAGCAGAAACUAAGUGAUAUUCAUAUUUUGGUGCAAAUCCACAAUUACACUGUAGAUGAGUCACUGCAAAAAUAAAGCAAACACUGGAACUGU